GACAGAGGUGCCGAGCGUUAGGCGGAAUCACUGGGCUUAAAGCGUGUGUAGGCGGGCGGGCAAGUACUUUGUGAAAUCCCACGGCUCAACCGUGGAACUGCUGGGUAUACUGCCUGUCUUGAGCCAGCCAGGGGCAGUCGGAACAGACGGUGGAGCGGUGAAAUGCGUAGAUAUCGUCUGGAACGCCAAAGGUGAAAACAGACUGCUGGGGCUGUGCUGACGCUGAGACACGAAAGCCAGGGGAGCGAACGGGG
rnacentral:rRNA from 1 species